rnacentral:lncRNA from 1 species
AUGCUCUUCUGGGUACUGCUGUGUGACAAGUCACAGAGUCCAAGUUGGCCGUUCUCAAGGGGCUCUCUCCUGUGUUCUUGCUCUGGUAUGGGAGCUGGAUCUCCUGAAUAUGGCUUCACCGUGGUCUUGGUCUCUGAUAGUCUAGUGUCCUGGUUCUGAAGUUGUACAUUCCAAGACAUCAAUGGGGCUGUUAGAAAGUGACUUUUUAAAAGAUAUGGCCUCAGGAUAAUCUUGAACUCUGCAAUCUCCUGCUCCGAUCUCUCCAGUUCUGGGAUUAUGGGCAUUUCUUUUAGUCUUUGCUGAGCUCCAUGGGUAUGAAUGGCGAUGGGAUCCUUGGGGUUUUACCAGAGAUUCCUGUCUUCCCAAGACUCCAGAAGGCCACAAUUAGCAAAAAGACCAGGAAUGAAGAGGUGGGAAGAGGGCAGUGCCUUCUCACUGUAAACUAGCAAUUUUCAUCAUCCUCUGCCUUGGCCCAUGUGGCUGCUGCUACCUGGAACAUCCCUCCUCCUGUCUCUGCAUGGCAGACUCUCUGGAACAUCCCUCCUUCCUGUCUCUGCAUGGCAGACUCCCACACUCCCCCAGAUGCAUCUCAGCUGGUGGCUUCUUCAUGAAACCCACCUCAUCUGUCGGCUCGGGUGCCUCAUUCGUCCUCUCCACCCACAAUUUUGUGCCUGUCAUCCUGUCUCUGCAGAGCCUGUUCCUUCCUGGAUUGUGGCCAGGGACCCACUCCGAGCCUGGUGCUUGCAACAGAGCAAAAAUACAUGUACAGGCUAGAAAGCAGGACUACAUGGUCGGCUGUGCCAGUGUGUGGUUACAUUCUCAGAAGAUACACGGUUGUUAUGUUUGAUCUCUUAUACCUCUCCCUGACCCAAAGAAAACAAACUAAAAAUAUCAGGCUCAACUAUGUAAACUUUUUCAGAGCCAAGUAUGGGUAAACUGGCAGAUCCACAAACAACUAAGUGUGGCUCAUUUUCCCGUUAUCUAAAAGCAAACCCUUUGUCUCCUUUCAAAGUUAUCCCAUCCUCACCAACCAGGUUAGAAGCCUUGUUCUAGAAGUCCUGUUGGAGUUACCUAAACCCAGAGUUUCUCCUUUCUUAAAUCCCCCUGGUGCCUGGAUACUGCCAUGCACAUCUCUCUCCCUUUCACUGGGGUCUGUUUAGCCUUCUGGCUAAGAUAAUAUACUCCUGUCCUGUUCAUUUCCUCUGCCUCAGGAAAGAAGCGAAGUGUUGAGCAUCUUGGCAAAGGCACAAUGCAGCUAUUCUCAGCUGUGGGGGGCUGGCUAUGGGAGGCAUGGAGUGUAAUGUGCAGAAGAGCUGAACUUUGAAGCAGGCACUGGUGUGAACUUUGUUCUUUUGAAGAUGUGAACUAUGCAAAGGUGUUGCUUUUCUUUGGCCAGACUGUGCAGAAGGUCAGAGUCUGGGGCAAAUUUGUUCCACAUACAUAUCUUGAUUGAUCUGAGCAAGGUCUGUAGAAACAGUGGGGAAAAUUUGCCUGUGUUGACAACCAGGAGAGUGUAUGUAAAAGCCUACUCUUCUGGUGUCCCCUAAAUUUGCAAGUUUUAGCAAAAUUGAGUUUCAAUCUCCAAUGAGCAACACUUGCUUAUUUAUAAGCAAGAACUGACCGUUCCUAAGGACAGAAGGGAGUCCCCUCUCUUCCUUCACCUCUGGGAAAUUGCACCCUGCAUUCUUCCACUGGCACUAUGUGCCUGUUCCUGGAUAAAUUAUUCUAAAAGAUGUGUCUUGUGUUUGAUGUUAGACAACUUAGUGCAGUUGUCUAAAGAUCUCAUAUGAGGCUGCUGGAGGCAAGCCUGGCAGCUUGUAUGGGCCUUUCUGUCUUACAGAGUUUAAGAGAAAUGAGCAACAUGAUUAUUAAUCCCUCUGAAACACAGGGUUUUCAUCCUUUGAUUUAUUUAAUUUACCAUAGUAGCUCCUUUUCAUUGAGCACUUACUAUGUUGUAUGUGUAUUCAUUUGUCUAUCUCACAAUGCCAAUUCGAUGAUAUAGGAACUUUUAGUAUCCCCAUUUUAUCAGAGAAAGUUAGGUCAGAAAGCUAGGAAGAAGCCUAGCCAUUGCCUGUAGGUCAUUUAUUGUAGUCCUAGCUACAGAAAUAAGAAAUAGAGGGCGCCGUGCAUGUCUACUGUCAUGGUUUGAUUGUAAGGUGUCCCCCAUAGGCUUAUGUGUUUGAAGAUUGUUUUCCAGCUGGUGGUGUUGUUUGGAGAGGUUCAAAACCUUUAGGAGGUGGAGCUUUGUUGAAGAAAGUAAGUCACUGGGCAAGGGCUUUGAAGUUUUAUAGCCUAGGCUUACUUCCUUUUCUCUCUCCACUUUAAGACUGCUUAUGCACCGUGGUAAACAUUCACCUGCCGUCAUGCCUUCCACACCAUGAUGGACUGUAUUCCUUUGAAACCGUGGGCCAAAAUAAAUCUUUUCUCAUAAGAUGCUUUUGUCAGGGUAUUUUAUAACCACAACAGAAGUGAAAUGAAGACAUCUACUGUAGGUGCAUGCUUACAUAGAUUCAUGCAACAUUAUGUGACCGUUAAAUGAUGUUGAAGUCAGGAGAGGGAUCUUAACAUGCUCAGAUCCUUGAGAAGUGGGAAACUGUACACUGUGGUCAACAAAUAAGCCAAGG